rnacentral:lncRNA from 1 species
AUGCCAAUGCACACAGGUAUAGAGAAGGGCAAGGAGAAAUGCCACCCCAAUGGGGGUUUUGCUUGUUCUAAUUGCUCUGCCCCCCUGGCUCCUGGCCCCAUCUCCCUGCCCCAGGAAGACACAGGGACCAUCCCUGCAGUACAGAGCCCACUCACACAACGUCUCAUCGUUAUCUUCAGGCUCAGCAGCAUUUCGCCCAGCUGCACACAGUGUAAGCCAGUUGCGUCCAUUCCACAAAGGAAACUGCCCUGCACACGCACGAUGCUCGCUGUGUUUACCUGUGUUUCCUUCGCCAUGGCAGAGAUUUUGACGGUGCAGUUUCGCUCUGACUCACCACUGCUUACUGCUGUGGAAACGCAUUGACUCUGCAGUACUACGAAGCUGUUGCAUGAAUGAAUAAAG